AUUGAACGCUGGCGGCAGGCCUAACACAUGCAAGUCGAACGAACCCUUCGGGGUUAGUGGCGGACGGGUGAGUAACACGUGGGAACGUGCCUUUAGGUUCGGAAUAACUCAGGGAAACUUGUGCUAAUACCGAAUGUGCCCUUCGGGGGAAAGAUUUAUCGCCUUUAGAGCGGCCCGCGUCUGAUUAGCUAGUUGGUGAGGUAAUGGCUCACCAAGGCUACGAUCAGUAGCUGGUCUGAGAGGAAGACCAGCCACAUUGGGACUGAGACACGGCCCAAACUCCUACGGGAGGCAGCAGUGGGGAAUCUUGCGCAAUGGGCGAAAGCCUGACGCAGCCAUGCCGCGUGGAUGAUGAAGGUCUUAGGAUUGUAAAAUCCUUUCACCAGUGAAGAUAAUGACUGUAGCCGGAGAAGAAGCCCCGGCUAACUUCGUGCCAGCCGCCGCCGUAAGAC
rnacentral:rRNA from 1 species